ensembl:lncRNA
CUGUACUGGAUUUAAGGCGAUUAAAUUCUGUGUUCACUUGAAUCACAACACUCGAUACCUUAACCGGUUAUGCUCUGGCCAUCUUCACCCAAGAGACCUACUGUUGGUCAAUUGUUUUGGCUUUAAAGGUAAAUGCAUUGUUAGUCACACUGUCUAGUCACUGGGCCAAAAGGAAAAUAAUAUUGAAAAGAGUUGAGAGGGACAAACAGGACAUUCACUUGAAUCACUACAUGCUACAGAAGUUGCAUCGAUUCCAGAAAACCAGGAAAAUGUUGAGCCAUCUGUAGACUUCAGAGCUGGUAUGUAAAAUGUAUUGCUGUGAUGCUUAAUUUGUGAUCCUGUAACUAAACUAUACACUUAGUUAGAUUUUCAAAUUUCUGUUCCCUCUUUCUCAGAACCAGGUUUCUCCCCAGUAAUCCAGACUCCACUUCACAGAGCCAAGAGUUUGAGUACAACUCGUCAAGUACUAAGCUUUACACCACCAGCAGCAAAUUUACACUGGCAGCAUAUGGGUGAAAACGCUGGAUGCAUGUAAUACGUUGC